AAGAAGGAGGCAAAAUAGUCUUGAUAUAUCCACGGGGAGCUUAAAGUCUAUUAGAGGAAAGGAAGUUAUUGUCCUCAGUAAUGUAGCUACAAUUAAGCUACUCAUGUUCUAAUAGAGUCACACCCAGGUCAGGUUGCUACACUCCCUAUUAGAAGAGUUAGACAACUACUCUGUGGGAAACAGAUACUUGAAGAUAACUUAAGCAAAAACAACAACAACAAAAUAACAACAAGAUACACAGCUUUUACAGCAUCAACAGAUGUUAAUCAACAGUCGAGGGUCUGGUUUCUUUUGAUUUUUCCAGGUGGAAAGAAUGUGUGUGAUCUUUAAAAGGGACAUAAGUGCUCUUGGUGCCAUCUUCAACUCUGAUUGAAUUUACUCUAAGGGUUAAUACCACAAAGGAUUGAUGAGUCAGGAGCUGAGUGAUAGUGGCCCUUUGAGAUGGGAACAAGAGCGUUGGUCUUUUCAAAGCUCUGAAGUGAUGAUGAGAGGCACAAGUGUCCUAACG
rnacentral:lncRNA from 1 species